UCCGGUAUCGUUCUCACGUGCAGACGCGUCGAAAACGUUGUUCCGUGGCGCUCCUCGGACGAGCCAUGGCGCCGGCUGCCCAUAGGAAGAACAGAGCCAGUGCCGAUGCCCCGUCUAAGCCCGAGCACUUGAGAGAAAUAAAAAAAAGCUAAGCGGC